GACGAACGCUGGCGGCGUGCUUAACACAUGCAAGUCGAACGGAAAGGCCCUGCUUUUGUGGGGUGCUCGAGUGGCGAACGGGUGAGUAACACGUGAGUAACCUGCCCUUGACUUUGGGAUAACUUCAGGAAACUGGGGCUAAUACCGGAUAGCAGCCCCUGCUCCAUGGUCGGGGUUGGAAAGUUUCGGCGGUGGGGGAUGGGCUCGCGGCUUACCAGCUUGUUGGUGGGGCAGUGGCCUACCACGGCUUGGGGGGGUAGCCGGCCUGAGAGGGUGACCGGCGACAUUGGGACGGAGGGACGGCCCAGGGUGCUACGGGAGGCAGCGGGGGGGAAUAUUGCACAAUGGGCGGAAGCCUGAUGCAGCAGCGCCGCGUGCGGGAUGACGGCCUUGGGGUGGUAAACCGCUUUCGCCUGUGACGAAGCGUGAGUGACGGUAAUGGGUAAAGAAGCACCGGCUAACUACGUG
rnacentral:rRNA from 1 species